GACGAACGCUGGCGGCGUGCUUAACACAUGCAAGUCGAACGGAAAGGCCCUGCUUUUGUGGGGUGCUCGAGUGGCGAACGGGUGAGUAACACGUGAGUAACCUGCCCUUGACUUUGGGAUAACUUCAGGAAACUGGGGCUAAUACCGGAUAGGAGCUCCUGCUGCAUGGUGGGGGUUGGAAAGUUUCGGCGGUUGGGGAUGGACUCGCGGCUUAUCAGCUUGUUGGUGGGGGAGUGGCUUACCAAGGCUUUGACGGGUAGCCGGCCUGAGAGGGUGACCGGCCACAUUGGGACUGAGAGACGGCCCAGACUCCUACGGGAGGCAGCAGGGGGGAAUAUUGCACAAUGGGAGGAAGCCUGAUGCAGCAACGCCGCGUGCGGGAUGACGGCCUUCGGGUUGUAAACCGCUUUCGCCUGUGACGAAGCGUGAGUGACGGUAAUGGGUAAAGAAGCACCGGCUAACUACGUG
rnacentral:rRNA from 1 species